ACCAAUGGAAAAACUGUUACAACGGAAUAUGAACAAGCUAGUUAAGAGUUUGUAAGGUGAUAAACGAGCAGGAAGACUUGCCUGAACUUACUUGCAGAGGCUUUACUGCCACCGACUGGAGACUAAUGGGAAGGCCUGAAAUCUGCUGCUGGCCAUUUUAAAACAGUCGUCUAAAAGAAAUAGAAGAGUUGAGAUCUCAACAGACGUCGGAGUGAAAACCACAGGAUUAAAAGUCAGCAAAUGGUUUCAUCACUUCUUUUGAAUCGGAUUAAUAUCUCCUUUCCCACGGCAACAUCGGCUCCUUUAUGCCAGCGCAAACUGCUCAUUUUACCGUUUUAAAAAUAAAAACGCACGUUUUUAUAUAGGCGAUGAGAGAUUUUCCAGUCCUCUGUGCUAAAAUGUUCUCUUUGUGAUGGGAGUACAAAGAAAGAAUUGCGUCAUCUAUAAUGCAUGGAAAGGGGGAAAAAAAAAAAGAAGAGGCGAGUACAGAGAUGGCGUG